rnacentral:SRP_RNA from 1 species
CGGGUCCCAUACGACGAGCGCCGGCGAACCCCGUCAGAUCCGGAAGGAAGCAGCGGCAGUCAGGUUUCUCGGGCGUUGUGGUCAACCCGGCU